rnacentral:tRNA from 1 species
UGGAAUGUAGCUUAGUGGUAGAGUGCUUGCCUAGCAUGCAUGAAGCCCUGGGUUUGAUUCCUCAGUAUGAUAA